GAAGCUGACCAGACAGUCGCCGCUUCGUCGUCGUCCUUUCGGGGAGACGGGCGGAGGGGAGGAAAGUCCGGGCUCCAUAGGGCAGGGUGCCAGGUAACGCCUGGGGGGGGAAACCCACGACCAGUGCAACAGAGAGCAGACCGCCGAUGGCCCACGUAAGUGGGAUCAGGUAAGGGUGAAAGGGUGCGGUAAGAGCGCACCGCGCGGCUGGUAACAGUCCGUGGCACGGUAAACUCCACCCGGAGCAAGGCCAAAUAGGGGUUCAUAAGGUACGGCCCGUACUGAACCCGGGUAGGCUGCUUGAGCCAGUGAGCGAUUGCUGGCCUAGAUGAAUGACUGUCCACGACAGAACCCGGCUUAUCGGUCAGU
rnacentral:RNase_P_RNA from 1 species